rnacentral:lncRNA from 1 species
AUCUAAAAGAAAAAUGAAAUUAAAAAUAAAAUACACACGGCUCUACUUUGCACAAAGCACAAAUGUAUGUGGCGACACGUUUCAAUUAUUAUUUUACUAUUUUUUUAAUUGCUAAUUUUAAAUAUUAACUUUCUUUUCUAAACGAAAAUAAUAUGGGUCAUUUAAAAUUCACAUGUGUUUCGAUCCUAAAUAUAAAACCAGAAUGUAUAAAAUUAAUGGCUUUUUCAUGGGAAACACAAAUUCAUAGAUUACGGUACCAGAUAAAGGGCCAGCCUCUUUAUGUCAACUUCUUAAAAACCACAAAAAUAUUUUCAGCUUUUAAAACGCCAGAUCUAAUAAAUUAUUGUCGCCUAUCUGGCCAUAUGGUAGAAUACCAGACAGAUUAAAGUGUUUGUGGUCUCAUUCAGUAUAGUCACAGCGGGCACCCGGGGCAGUCACACCAUCACACUCGCAAAGAAUAACAAACCCUCUUUCGAGAAAUAUUCGCGCUAUUUUGCCGACACAAAUAAAUAUUAUUAUUGACAGUUUGUUGUUUUUGCACUUACUUUAAUUUCAUUUAAUUGUUUCCGUAAACCCACCACGGAACAUUGGUGACCCCGCGAAUAAAUAUAACGACGCGAACUUUUAAAAAUAGUGUUAAUAAUAUACUUUUGCCAGUUAAAACAGUGAAUAGUGAAAAUGACGGACGGUGCCAAUAACAGUGCUUCAGUAGUUGAUCGGAUUUCAGUUAAAAUCCCACCGUUCUGGACCAACGACCCGAAAUUUGGUUCCUGAAAGUAGAAAACCAAUUUACACUUGCAAUCAUUACAAGUUACGCAACAAAAUUCAACUAUAUAGUUGCUAAUCUCGAAACAGCUUACAUAUCAGAAGCAUUGAUUAAUAACUACCUACACAACUACCUGGGUACGCAACAGGCAACAACUACCUGGGUUAAUCAAUGUCAGAAGUUAGGGACAUCGUUGUGUCACCACCAGCUACAGGGAGACAUGGAAGUCAUUCUGCAGACCUGGAAGUGAAUGUACCCAGAGUUGCAUCUAGAUAAACCUAUCGCAAUAAUAUUCGUGCCAAUUGUCCUAAAUAUUAUUACCGCCCCAAUGUGUUUCUUCCUCUUCUUGAUUACUUGUUCAGCGACUAAUCUGGAAGAUUUUAUUCUGAUAAACACAAUCAUAUAAAGAAACUCCAGUCCUUGAGCAUAUCCUCAUAUAAGCAGCUACCAUUUACGAAUUGGACCUACCCGGAACUAUCCAAGAACUUAAGGACUGCUACACCUGUGGUUUGAAUUUUGGAAGAGCCAGCAGAAGAAACCGGACACCGCAAGUGAAGCUUUGCUGCACACAAGUAAUAAAUUUUAUCCAAAUAUAAAUGAGUUACUCACCAUAUUAUUAUGUAUCAUAGACGACUCCAUCUACAUUAAACUAUAAGUAGACUAUAUAAUUGGUUUUGAGGAUUUAAAUUUUAAUUUACGGUCAUGUUCAGUUACAGUACAGAGGUAAACUGCGUUGCAAUAAAUGCUCUAAAGAUCAUCCAAAAUAUUUAAGUUGUGAUACAGAUGAGGUCUGCUGUGUUCACUGUCAAAACAGUUUGCAUCCUUCUAUUUCUAGAGAUUGUCCUGUGUAUAAAAAGCAGCUUGAAAUUAAAAAAAUAAUAUGUCUUUCAAAA